rnacentral:hammerhead_ribozyme from 1 species
AUCCAGCUGAUGAGCCAAAUAGAACGAAACGCGUGUCCUGGAU